rnacentral:rRNA from 1 species
GACGUAGGGGGCCAGCGUUGUUCGGAAUUACUGGGUGUAAAGGGUUCGUAGGCGGUGUGGCAAGUCGGGAGUGAAAUCUCUGGGCUCAACUCAGAGACUGCUUCCGAAACUGCUGUGCUGGAGUGUGGGAGAGGCGCGUGGAAUUGCAGGUGUAGCGGUGAAAUGCGUAGAUAUCUGCAGGAACACCCGUGGCGAAAGCGGCGCGCUGGACCACUACUGACGCUGAGGCGCGAAAGCCAGGGGAGCGAACGGG